rnacentral:rRNA from 1 species
AUGUCUGUGAAGAUGCGGACUACCUGCACCUGGACAGAAAGACCCUAUGAAGCUUUACUGUUCCCUGGGAUUGGCUUUGGGCCUUUCCUGCGCAGCUUAGGAGGAAGGCGAAGAAGGCCCCCUUCCGGGGGGGCCCGAGCCAUCAGUGAGAUACCACUCUGGAAGAGCUCGGAUUCUAACCUUGUGUCAGACCCGCGGGCCAAGGGACAGUCUCAGGUAGACAGUUUCUAUGGGGCGUAG